UUUUAGGGGAACGAUAGAUGAAGUCUGGUUCCCUCGGUUAGCACAUUUCUCACGCCAUCUCUCCCUUCCCCAACGCCACCAACUUCUUCCCCUCCCGAUAGCACGCCGCCGCUCCAUCGAUCGCCUCCCGGCGCAGCGGCCAGUCCGUCGUCUCUCCUCAGUGCCUCCUCUUCCUAUCUCCUCUCACUCCUCCACCGAUCCCCACCCUUCACAGCCCCGCACCCUCUAUCCAUCCCCACGAGAGCUUGUCCAGCCAAAUCCAACUAGGUUAUAACGACGUGAAAGGCGGCGAUGGGUCGAGGCCAUUGGCGCUGAACCUUCUGGCUGUGUCUCCGACAGUCCAGAGGCCUCCGGCCGAUGGGGAGGAGAAUAACCACAGCCACGCUAGGGGCAAACCCUACCGCGGUAGGCGGUCGUGCGGGGGGAUUGAUCGCUAACCCCCCUCUCCCGCGUUCUUGCUCAUGCGCCCCACGUUUCCCAUCUCCAUCAGACAUCCACAAAUGAAGGCCGCAAUUUCAUCGACUAGCAACAGGUUUCAACGGCUUGGCAUGUUGCAGGUCAAUUUGUUCAUUAUCUUGACAUAAUGACAUUAGAUCAGAACGAAGCCAAAUGUCAGAGAUCUUGUUUCAAUUUGAAACCAUGAAGCAAAACAUUGUGCGAAAACUGAACCAAACUCAGUAAGAUGCUUUCUUCGAUUAUGUCUGUACAAGUGUAGAUCCUCCAAUAUCAAGAAGUUUGCAUCUCCGAUCCUUAAUGAAUUUCAGAAGUGCAAGUGAUUCACCUUGUGAGUGCCCAUGCCCAGGUUUGUGUGCUCUGCGACAUGAUUAUAAUGGGUUUGAAUUGGGAUGUAUACCAGGUCCAAAGAUGCUAUCUGCUGAUGUUUGCAUUAUACAACUUAUAAGAAACAAUGCACUUCUACGCUUGGAGUUGUCAUGUGCUGAUAUAAUUGUUGAACUUGAAUAAUCCGGGUCCAUUUCCUGCUUAAUUAUGUUUUGUUUCCACUUUUACAACUUGAAUAGAUGUGUUCCAAGUAUUUGAUUCUCCAUUAUUCCAGGGACAACUCUCUGGAGGGUGCAGUGGUAGUUCCUUGUGUUCCAAGUGUUCCUCUGACAUUGGCACUUAAGAAACUUGUUUCCGGUGAUGACACUUAGGGAUAUCAUGGCUCGCAUUAGGGAUAUGCAGAUCUCACUUGAAGCAUGUAUUCGCUGAUGCUGGCCAUUUUAGGACUGCAGCUAUGUGUUUGGACAAUAUGUUACAGCUGCGGUGAAAUUUGGUGCCUCCCCGUGGAGUACAAGGUGGGAUUUGCAAGGCUAAGCUGUUCAUAAAUGAGCAAAGAGAGAUUUGUCAAGGCAGUGGCGUGGAAAGUGUAUACCUCAUGACAAUCAUGAUGACACAAAAGAAGAGUGAGCACUAGAUUUUCCCAUGACAAGGCUCCUACCUUUUUGCAAGUGCUUUGUUGAUAUGCUCCGGCAUAAGACAACUUUUGCAUUCUUGGGUAACGCAAGUAUAACUGUCAUUUGUUCUACUCUUCGAUGUGCACCCGUCAUUUGUUCUACUCUUCGAUGUGCUUUCAGAUCUUUCAAUAUCGACUAAUGUUUCUGAUGUUCAUGAACAAAUUUGAAACUGUAUUAUUGGUUUCAUUGUCGAUGUAAAGCUACACCUAGAGUAGGCCCAUAAUGUACUGUGUGGUUAGAGAUGAUUCCUGAAGUUUUAUUUAUUAUUUAUUUAUUUUGUAAUUAGCCUCUUGUGCAUCGAAGAAACAAUGGAGUUCUUGAUGCAUUUGAUUGGGCAAUGGAUUCCUGAAGUUUUAUUUAUUAUUUAUUUAUUUUGUAA